rnacentral:rRNA from 1 species
AAAUAGAUACCCUGGUAGUCCACGCCGUAAACGAUGAGUGCUAAGUGUUAGAGGGUUUCCGCCCUUUAGUGCUGCAGCUAACGCAUUAAGCACUCCGCCUGGGGAGUACGGCCGCAAGGCUGAAACUCAAAGGAAUUGACGGGGGGCCCGCACAAGCGGUGGAGCAUGUGGUUUAAUUCGAAGCAACGCGAAGAACCUUACCAGGUCUUGACAUCCUCUGACAACCCUAGAGAUAGGGCUUUCCCCUUCGGGGGACAGAGUGACAGGUGGUGCAUGGUUGUCGUCAGCUCGUGUCGUGAGAUGUUGGGUUAAGUCCCGCAACGAGCGCAACCCUUGAUCUUAGUUGCCAGCAUUCAGUUGGGCACUCUAAGGUGACUGCCGGUGACAAACCGGAGGAAGGUGGGGAUGGACGUCAAAUCAUCAUGCCCCUUAUGACCUGGGCUACACACGUGCUACAAUGGAUGGUACAAAGGGCUGCAAACCUGCGAAGGUAGCGAAUCCAUAAAGCCAUUCUCAGUUCGGAUUGCAGG